GACGAACGCUGGCGGCGUGCCUAAUACAUGCAAGUAGAACGCUGAAGGAGGAGCUUGCUUCUCUGGACGAGUUGCGAACGGGUGAGUAACGCGUAGGUAACCUGCCUGGUAGCGGGGGAUAACUAUUGGAAACGAUAGCUAAUACCGCAUAAUAGUAGAUGUUGCAUGACAUUUGCUUAAAAGGUGCAAUUGCAUCACUACCAGAUGGACCUGCGUUGUAUUAGCUAGUUGGUGGGGUAACGGCUCACCAAGGCGACGAUACAUAGCCGACCUGAGAGGGUGAUCGGCCACACUGGGACUGAGACACGGCCCAGACUCCUACGGGAGGCAGCAGUAGGGAAUCUUCGGCAAUGGACGGAAGUCUGACCGAGCAACGCCGCGUGAGUGAAGAAGGUUUUCGGAUCGUAAAGCUCUGUUGUAAGAGAAGAACGAGUGUGAGAGUGGAAAGUUCACACUGUGACGGUAUCUUACCAGAAAGGGACGGCUAACUACGUG
rnacentral:rRNA from 1 species